UACGAAGGGGCUAGCGUUGUUCGGAAUUACUGGGCGUAAGCGCACGUAGGCGGAUAUUAAGUAGGUGAAUCCAGGCUCAACCUGACUGCUUUAAUACUGGUAUCUCGAGUCGAGAGAGGUGAGUGAAAUUCGAGUGUAGAGUGAAAAAAUUCGUAGAUAUUCGAGACACCAGUGCGAAGGCGCUCACUGCUCGGUACUGACGCUGAGUGCGAAAAAAGCGUGGGGGGGAGCAACAGGG
rnacentral:rRNA from 1 species